CACGUAGGGUGCGAGCGUUGUCCGGAAUUAUUGGGCGUAAAGAGCGUGUAGGCGGCCAGGUAGGUCGGUUGUGAAAACUGGAGGCUCAACCUCCAGACGUCGACCGAAACCAUCUGGCUAGAGUCCGGAAGAGGAGAGUGGAAUUCCUGGUGUAGCGGUGAAAUGCGCAGAUAUCAGGAAGAACACCCGUGGCGAAAGCGGCUCUCUGGGACGGUACUGACGCUGAGACGCGAAAGCGUGGGAGCGAACAGG
rnacentral:rRNA from 1 species